rnacentral:rRNA from 1 species
AUGAACGCUAGCGGCAGGCUUAACACAUGCAAGUCGAGGGGUAGAAGGAGCUUGCUCCUUUGAGACCGGCGCACGGGUGCGUAACGCGUAUGCAAUCUACCUUUGCAGAGGGAUAGCCCAGAGAAAUUUGGAUUAAUACCUCAUAGUAUGUGAGGAUGGCAUCAUUUUCACAUUAAAGUCACAACGGCAAAAGAUGAGCAUGCGUCCCAUUAGCUAGUUGGUAAGGUAACGGCUUACCAAGGCUACGAUGGGUAGGGGUCCUGAGAGGGAGAUCCCCCACACUGGUACUGAGACACGGACCAGACUCCUACGGGAGGCAGCAGUGAGGAAUAUUGGACAAUGGGCGCAAGCCUGAUCCAGCCAUGCCGCGUGCAGGAUGACGGUCCUAUGGAUUGUAAACUGCUUUUGUACAGGAAGAAACACUACUUCGUGAAGUAGCUUGACGGUACUGUAAGAAUAAGGAUCGGCUAACUCCGUG